rnacentral:rRNA from 1 species
ACGAACGCUGGCGGCGUGCCUAAUACAUGCAAGUCGAACGCAUUUUCUUUCACCGUAGCUUGCUACACCGAAAGAAAAUGAGUGGCGAACGGGUGAGUAACACGUGGGUAACCUGCCCAUCAGCGGGGGAUAACACUUGGAAACAGGUGCUAAUACCGCAUAAUUCCAUUUACCGCAUGGUAGAUGGAUGAAAGGCGCUUYUGCGUCACUGAUGGAUGGACCCGCGGUGCAUUAGCUAGUUGGUGGGGUAACGGCCUACCAAGGYUGCGAUGCAUAGCYGACCUGAGAGGGUGAUCGGCCACACUGGGACUGAGACACGGCCCAGACUCCUACGGGAGGCAGCAGUAGGGAAUCUUCGGCAAUGGACGCAAGUCUGACCGAGCAACGCCGCGUGAGUGAAGAAGGUUUUCGGAUCGUAAAACUCUGUUG